UCACGAGCUGUAAAUUUUAUUUGUUACUAAUAUUACGACCGUAGUAUUGAUUUGUGAAAUACAUUUUAUGUUUAAAUCUAUAUCGCUCAUACACAAAAAUAUGUCGUUUAUGAUUAAUUGAGAACAAAUAUGAAAGGAUACCGGGCUUUAAUUGCACAUUAUGCCUGUUAGAGUUGUAAUUUGGGAUACUAAGUAGUGAGUGUUUCCCAUAAGUUGAAAUUGGUUUGGUGACUAUUAGAGCUCAGGUUUGUUUCCAACUGUGUCAUUUGCAUGCAAUUCGAGCGCCUAGUCAAGGGAGCCAGCACACCCCAAUUCUUUUUAAUUAGACAGUUUAUGAGAAAUGGAAGUCAGAAUAAUUUUUGUUGUGGUAUUAAUUAAGUUGGGAUGUGGAAUGCCACAGUUUCCUAUGUACCCACCACCACCCCCGCCUAUGCCGUAUCCUGGUAUGCCAAUGCCUCCCCAGCCAAUGAUGUACAUGCCGCCACCAGCGCCACCGCCACCCCCCCUUUUUAUGCCUCCCCCACCGCCUCCGCCACCGCCUCCACCACCUCCGCCGCCACCGCCACAGAUGAUAUAUCAAUUAGACCUCCCCUCAAAACCCACGACCAUGUCCACCACGGCAGCAGAACCGGAAGUUUUCAUAAUUCCGGUGCCAGUACCGGGGCCGCCGAUCCCGCUAAUGAUGCCUCCACCGCCGCCGCCGCCGAUCUGUUGUGGAUUAGGAUAACUAUAGGUAUAGAAGAAUGAAAAAUAUCAAACAUAAAGUAUUCAAUGAUAGAAGUAUUCAAUGAGUGAAAGCUGAAAUUUUAAUGAACAGUUUGAUUUUUAGUAAAAUGAAAAUAUUAAUUAAUGAUGUGAUACUUUUUUAUAAGUAAAUUUAUUUUUUUCUUA